CACCGCUUCAUAGCAGGACACUACAUUUACACCACAGUAUCAAACAUAUCAAGAAAUAUACAGUGUCAUCAUGUAGAAAAGUGUCCAAUGUGUGUGUGUGUGUGUGUGUGU